rnacentral:rRNA from 1 species
GAUCCUGGCUCAGGAUGAACGCUGGCGGCGUGCCUAACACAUGCAAGUCGAACGAAGCACCUUUUAAGAUUCUUCGGAUGAUUGAUUGGUGACUGAGUGGCGGACGGGUGAGUAACGCGUGGGUAACCUGCCCUGUACAGGGGGAUAACAGUUGGAAACGGCUGCUAAUACCGCAUAAGCGAACGAGAGGACAUACUCUUGUGUGAAAAACUCCGGUGGUACAGGAUGGGCCCGCGUCUGAUUAG